rnacentral:rRNA from 1 species
GACGAACGCUGGCGGCGUGCCUAAUACAUGCAAGUCGAACGCAGUGGGGACGGGUGAGUAACACGUGGGUAACCUCCCAUCAGAGGGGAUAACACUUGGAAACAGGUGCUAAAACGAUACUGAUGGAUGGACCCCCGGUGCCUUAGCUAGUUGGGGAGGUAACGGCUCACCAAGGCCACGACGCAUAGCUGACCUGAGUGGGUGAGCGGCCAGACGGUGACUAAGACACGGCCCGGACUCCGACGGUAGGCAGCAGUAGGGAAUCUUCGGCAAUGGACGAAAGUCUGACCGAGCAAGUCCGCGUGAGUGAAGAAGGUUUUCGAAUCGUAAAACUCUGUUGUUAGAGAAGCGGUAUCUAACCAGAAAGCCACGGCUAACUACGUGCCAGCCGCCGCGGUAAGAC